UACAGAGGUCUCAAGCGUUGUUCGGAUUCAUUGGGCGUAAAGGGUGCGUAGGUGGCAGGGUAAGUCGGAUGUGAAAUCCCGGGGCUCAACCCCGGAACUGCAUUCGAUACUGCUCUGCUAGAGUACUGGAGAGGAGAUUGGAAUUUACGGUGUAGCAGUGAAAUGCGUAGAUAUCGUAAGGAAGACCAGUGGCGAAGGCGGAUCUCUGGACAGUUACUGACACUGAGGCACGAAGGCCAGGGGAGCAAACGGG
rnacentral:rRNA from 1 species